rnacentral:rRNA from 1 species
AAAAGAAACCAACAGGGAUUGCCCUAGUAACGGCGAGUGAAGCGGCAACAGCUCAAAUUUGAAAUCUGGCCUCUGGCCCGAGUUGUAAUUUGUAGAGGAUGCUUUUGGUGAGGUGCCUUCCGAGUUUCCCUGGAACGGGACGCCAUAGAGGGUGAGAGCCCCGUCUGGUCGGACACCGAUCCUCUGUAAAGCUCCUUCGACGAGUCGAGUAGUUUGGGAAUGCUGCUCUAAAUGGGAGGUAUAUGUCUUCUAAAGCUAAAUACCGGCCAGAGACCGAUAGCGCACAAGUAGAGUGAUCGAAAGAUGAAAAGCACUUUGAAAAGAGGGUUAAACAGUACGUGAAAUUGUUGAAAGGGAAGCGCUUGUGACCAGACUUGGGCUUGGUUAAUCAUCCAGUGUUCUUCACUGGUGCACUUGGCCGGCCCAGGCCAGCAUCAGUUCGGUGCGGGGGAUAAAGGCUUCGGGAAUGUGGCUCCUCCGGGAGUGUUAUAGCCCGUUGCGUAAUACCCUGCGCUGGACUGAGGUUCGCGCAUCUGCAAGGAUGCUGGCGUAAUGGUCAUCAGCGACCCGUCUUGAAACACGGACCAAGGAGUCGUCUUCGUAUGCGAGUGUUCGGGUGUUAAACCCCUACGCGUAAUGAAAGUGAACGCAGGUGAGAGCUUCGGCGCAUCAUCGACCGAUCCUGAUGUUCUCGGAUGGAUUUGAGUAAGAGCAUACGGGGCCGGACCCGAAAGAAGGUGAACUAUGCCUGUAUAGGGUGAAGCCAGAGGAAACUCUGGUGGAGGCUCGCAGCGGUUCUGACGUGCAAAUCGAUCGUCAAAUAUGGGCAUGGGGGCGAAAGACUAAUCGAACCUUCUAGUA